UGCGCUGGUGGGGACAGGAAAUUGGGCCGAAGGGAGAUGAGUCCCCGGCGUGCGGUGGAGCCUCGCUGGGGGAAAUGUCAGCUUGGACCAUGGGCGCCCGCGGUCUGGACAAGCGAGGAAGUUUCUUUAAGCUCAUUGACACAAUUGCCUCGGAGAUCGGAGAACUGAAACAGGAGAUGGUGCGGACAGAUGUCAGCCUGGAAAAUGGCCUGGAACCCGCUGAAACCCACAGAACCCGGAAACCUAAAAUUGUCUGUGCCAUAUCCACCUACUCCCAGUGAUGGAAACAGUAACGCAGCGAGAUCCAGCGUGUGCAAAGUAGAAUUCAGUGUAGCCGUGUGAGUCUCCAGAAGGCUUACAGGGGAGCAGCUAAAGAGGAUGGACUCAUUUUGCAUUCUCAGCAUGGUAAGACACAAGGAUGGUGGCUAUUCCGAGGAAGAGGACGUGAAGACCUGUGCCCGGGACUCAGGCUAUGACAGCCUCUCCAACAGGCUCAGCAUCUUGGACCGGCUCCUCCACACCCACCCCAUAUGGCUGCAGUUGAGUCUGAGUGAGGAGGAGGCAGCAGAGGUCCUGCAGGCCCAGCCUCCAGGGAUCUUCCUGGUUCAUAAAUCUACCAAAAUGCAGAAGAAAGUCCUCUCCCUCCGCCUGCCCUGUGAAUUUGGGGCCCCACUCAAGGAAUUUGCCAUAAAGGAAAGCACAUACACCUUUUCCCUGGAAGGCUCAGGAAUCAGUUUUGCAGAUUUAUUCCGGCUCAUUGCUUUCUACUGCAUCAGCAGGGAUGUUCUGCCAUUUACCUUGAAGUUGCCUUAUGCCAUUUCAACAGCCAAGUCGGAGGCUCAGCUUGAAGAACUGGCCCAGAUGGGACUAA
rnacentral:sRNA from 1 species